GGGGGGAGGCCGGAUUCUGGGCUGUGUCCCGGCGCCCUGUGCUCCCAGUCUGCGCUGUUGGAUUCUUGCUCCUGGCCCCGCAGCCCCUC
rfam:Canis lupus familiaris chromosome 20, whole genome shotgun sequence.